rnacentral:rRNA from 1 species
GAUUAACGCUAGCGGCAGGCCUAAUACAUGCAAGUCGAACGGCAGCGGGUCCAGCAAUGGAUGCCGGCGAGUGGCGCACGGGUGCGUAACACGUAUGCAAUCUACCCUUAACUGGGGGAUAGCCCCGAGAAAUCGGGAUUAAUACCCCAUAAUAUUAUGAUGAGGCAUCUCAUUAUAAUUAAAGCUCCGGCGGUUUUGGAUGAGCAUGCGCGACAUUAGUUAGUUGGUGAGGUAACGGCUCACCAAGGCAGCGAUGUCUAGGGGUUCUGAGAGGAUACACCCACACACUGGUACUCAGAACCGGACCAGACUCCUACGGGAGGCGGCAGGAAGGAAUAUUGGGCAAUGGGCGCAAGCCUGACCCAGCCAGGCCGCGGGCAGGAUGACGGCCCUACGGGUUGUAAUCUGCUUUUGUACGGGAAAAAACCCCCGGUCGUGAAUCGGGGUUGAUGGUACCGUAAGAAUAAGCAUCGGCUAACUCCGUGCCAGCCGCCGCCGUAA